GUGCUUGCUUCAGCAGCACAUACACUAAAAUUGGAAUGAUACAGAGAUUAUCAUGGCCUCUGCACAUGGAUGACACCCAAAUUCAUGAAAUGUUCCAUAUUUCA